GGGCGGGCUGAGCUCACACACCGGGAAGCCGCCGCUGCGGAGCCGAGGCCGCCGCCGCUGCGCAUCUCGCGCUCUCCGCUGGGCGCUCGCGGGGGCGGCGAGGCGGUUGUGCGGGCCCCCGGGAGGGAGGCGGACACGCGAGAGGAACGGCAAAUGACAGAGCGGAGGGAAGGCUGGCCCAGCCAAUCCUGGAGCCGCUGCAGCACUGGUUCCCCAAACAAACACAUUCUGGUGCAAGGACAGAGAGGAGGGGGCUGCUGGCCCACACCCCUCCCCUGCCGGUAGCCCCCUGGCCGCUCCCCUGUGGGGAGGGCAGCUGGACAGAGGCUGCCCUGGGCCGGGCUGGUGAUGGUGCUGCGGCCCCUCCCUGCUGCCCAGCGUGGGAGGAAGAAGGCAGAGCCAGGCAAGUCUCCCUCUGCGUCCUCUGGGGUGGAAGGAGCAGGUAGAGACAGGGCUGGGGCAGCCAGGGCCGGGUGUUGCUUUGGCAUGGGUGGCGAGAGGGCUGCACCUCCAGCCCCUUGGGUCUGGUUCCACUCCCGGCCUGUCCCUGGCACUCAGCAACUGCGUCUAUGUGCCUGUUGGUGCCACCAUGUUAUAUAACGCUUAUAUAAUCUCCCAGGGCAAGCGCUGUGUCUCCGUUGUCAGGUCACACAGACGCUGUGUCCGUGUGGGAGUCAGGAUCUGUGGGAGCCCGGGGGUGGGCCUGCGCCCUCUGCUCCCGGUCCCGGCCGUGGAGGGGGAGAUGGGCGAGCAGGGGCCCAUGGCACACCAGCUGUCUGCGCCUGAGAAAGAAGGGCUGGCUGGGCAGCCGUCCUCUCCUUGCCCCCGCAUGUCCCCCCUUGCCCGGUGGAUCCUCUUGUGGAGCGGAUGCCCUUCUGGUGCCCGAGAGGUCAGCUUUCUGUUCUUGGGGCGCCCCUGGCACGCAGAUGGGUGUGGUGAGAUGACCCCCGGAACGUUGCAGGGGGAAGAGUACGUGGUACCUGGGGUUGCAUAAAGAGAGCGAGAGAUGAGCUCUGCCUUUGAGGUUUUGAGCAAGAGCGCCUGGAAGGAUGGGCUGGUGGUGGCAUUCUAAGAAGCUGGGAGCCGGCCUAGGGGCUAGAGGAUGGCCAGGGAAGGGUGUGCGGGGAAGUGGAUCAGACAGCAAAGAUAAACAUGGUGUUCUUUUACUGUACUCUCCACUGGGCUGUCCCUGGUUACCAGGGCAACAGAAGCAGUGAUGAAAAUCAUGCCUUUCGUUCAGUGGAAAAAUCUGGCUCCUCCUCCCGCCUCUUCCUUCUCUAAUCGCCUGCAACCUAUUGGGAGGGUAGUGGCUCCAGGGAUCAGAGACCCCAGUGUGUCCCUCUCAGGGCCCCCCCUUCCCCGUUUUUUGUCAUCGUCCGCCUUCCUGCAUCCCCUCUUUCCCCCAGAGCUCGGUAAUUGGCAGUUGCGUAGGAGUUGGACUUCGUGGAGGGGGAAGGGUGCGGACGUCAUCGCAGGGCAGGGCGAGCCGAGCGUGGGCAGAGAUGUGGAUGCGGGAAGCCACGGGCACACGAGGAGGGUCAGGCAUUGAUCAGCUCGAUGGGGCUCGUUCCUGGGGGUGGAAGGGGUGGGGGAGACAAUGGAAAACCUGCAGAGCCUGGCGUCUGGGCCUGUGGUGGUGGGAAGAGGAGGCUCAGGUGUCUGGGGUGGUCAUGGCUCCUGACGCGAGCUAGGACUCAUUCAUUGCGCACUUUUUUAGGGGUGUCUGCCAUGUUAGGUAAGGUUCUGGGAGCUGGGAAGACGCAGGUAAGUAAGCCUGGGCCUUGACCUUGAAGAGAUUGUGGGAGAUGGGAGGAGGACGGGCAUGUGGGGAAAGAGCAGCUGGCAUUGUGACCAGCCUAGAAUCUGGGGCCCCGGGCAGGAGAUGGGCCACAUUCCCGCCCGGAGGUGAUGGAUUAAGGUGGGGCCUGUGGGAAUUCGGAGGAGGAGGUAGUCAGAGAGCCCCUUUGGCUUGGAGACAGGACAUGGGGGAGAGAAGGUGCUGACAGUUUGAGCCUUAAUGAUUGACA